AAUAGAUACCCGGGUAGUCCACGCCGUAAACGAUGAGUGCUAAGUGUUAGGGGGUUUCCGCCCCUUAGUGCUGCAGCUAACGCAUUAAGCACUCCGCCUGGGGAGUACGGUCGCAAGACUGAAACUCAAAGGAAUUGACGGGGGCCCGCACAAGCGGUGGAGCAUGUGGUUUAAUUCGAAGCAACGCGAAGAACCUUACCAGGUCUUGACAUCCCACUGACCGCUAUGGAGACAUAGUUUUCCCUUCGGGGACAGUGGUGACAGGUGGUGCAUGGUUGUCGUCAGCUCGUGUCGUGAGAUGUUGGGUUAAGUCCCGCAACGAGCGCAACCCUUGAUCUUAGUUGCCAUCAUUUAGUUGGGCUACUCUAAGGUGACUGCCGGUGACAAACCGGAGGAAGGUGGGGAUGACGUCAAAUCAUCAUGCCCCUUAUGACCUGGGCUACACACGUGCUACAAUGGACGGUACAAACGGUUGCCAACCCGCGAGGGGGAGCUAAUCCGAUAAAACCGUUCUCAGUUCGGAUUGUAGGCUGCAACUCGCCUAC
rnacentral:rRNA from 1 species